rnacentral:tRNA from 1 species
GCCGAAAUAGCUCAGUUGGGAGAGCGUUAAACUUAAGAUCUAAAGGUUCCUGGUUCGAUCCCGGGUUUCGGCA